AGUGAACGCUGGCGGUAGGCCUAACACAUGCAAGUCGAACGGCAGCACAGUAAGAGCUUGCUCUUACGGGUGGCGAGUGGCGGACGGGUGAGGAAUACAUCGGAAUCUACUUUUUCGUGGGGGAUAACGUAGGGAAACUUACGCUAAUACCGCAUACGACCUACGGGUGAAAGCAGGGGAUCUUCGGACCUUGCGCGAUUGAAUGAGCCGAUGUCGGAUUAGCUAGUUGGCGGGGUAAAGGCCCACCAAGGCGACGAUCCGUAGCUGGUCUGAGAGGAUGAUCAGCCACACUGGAACUGAGACACGGUCCAGACCCCUACGGGAGGCAGCAGUGGGGAAUAUUGGACAAUGGGCGCAAGCCUGAUCCAGCCAUACCGCGUGGGUGAAGAAGGCCUUCGGGUUGUAAAGCCCUUUUGUUGGGAAAGAAAAGCAGCAGGUUAAUACCCCGCUGUUCUGACGGUUCCCAAAGAAUAAGCACCGGCUAACUUCGUG
rnacentral:rRNA from 1 species